rnacentral:rRNA from 1 species
GGAUCAGUAUGUCGGUCAUGCCUUUGGUAUGUACUGGUGUCACUGAUUCCUCCCUUCUGAAGAACCGUUAUGCCAUUCAUUUAGUGUGGCGGGGAAUCAGGACUGUUACUUUGAAAAAUUAGAGUGUUUAAAGCAGGCUCGCGCUUGAAUACAUUAGCAUGGAAUAAUGAAAUAGGACGUUUGAUCUUAUUUUGUUGGUUUCUAGGAUCGACGUAAUGAU